CCCCUUCGAUUUCCCCUUUCUCAGACCUCGAGAAGCAGGAACCCUAACCCUCUUCAAUUUCCCUUAGACCUCUCUCUCUGAUUAUUGUGACUUCGAUUUCCCUCAGAGUUCUCUCUCUCUUUCGAAUGCUGACUUGGGAUGUGGAGUGUUUCAUGGACAGCAUCGCUAAGAGAUUUGUGGAGUUGACCAUGGCACAUAGGGGGGAAGUGAAAGCUGUAAUGACGACUGUUAUUGCCCUUCCACCGAAAGAGGAGAAAGAACUGAAGGAAACACUUAAAGAUAUUAUUGGACGUGGGAAGAAGGUUAAUUGAUCUCGAGCAGAAGGUAUGUGGCAUAUCAUCCAUGACUCUUAUUUUCUUGCACUACUUCAUUUAACGUUAAACAAAAAGGAAUUCAUUUUUUUAUUUUUUAUUUUUUUUAUUUAUGUAUGUUAGAUUGAUUCGAGUAUUCUUGGUGGCCUGGUGGUUGAAUUCGAUCGGACAAAAUGUCUAUCUUGAUAUGUCCAUCAAGACCAGGGUUCGAUCGGCAGAUGGAAAUAUUGCAGCACUUUGCUCACUCUACUCAUGCUGCUACUACAAGUCUUGAAGACCUACAAUAUGCCUCUGCUUCUAAAUUUCUUUUGUUUGCUCUGGAUGAUCUGCAUGGAGGCCCACUAGAAUAGUCAUUGCAUGCCUUUCCACUUUCUAUUUUUGUCCCAUUUGUUGGAAUUGUACAAAUACCUUUUGUUUUGCCUUUUAUUGUUAGUAGUGGAAUAGGUGGUACUUUUGUGUGCUGUCU